UUUGUCUUUGAAUGAUCUAAAUAUUCUGAAUUUGUGACAUCACAAAGUUACGGAAAUCCCGACAGCUUGUUUUAAAGGCAGAGUUUCUGAAUACGGGCUGUGUGUCUUUCUCCAUGGGUUGAGAGUUUCGAUAUUUUCAUAGUAUUUAUAUAAAACUUAAACGUGUUUUAUAAUAAAGAAAACAUUUUUUUUUACAUUAUGGGACCUUUAAAACGUUCAAAAAAUGAUCUAACAUUAUCAAUAGAAUGUGAAGAAGUAACCGUUUUGAGGUUAUGUCGAAGAAGUCA